GAACGCUGGCGGCGUGCCUAAUACAUGCAAGUCGAGCGAACAGACGAGGAGCUUGCUCCUCUGACGUUAGCGGCGGACGGGUGAGUAACACGUGGAUAACCUACCUAUAAGACUGGGAUAACUUCGGGAAACCGGAGCUAAUACCGGAUAAUAUAUUGAACCGCAUGGUUCAAUAGUGAAAGACGGUUUUGCUGUCACUUAUAGAUGGAUCCGCGCCGCAUUAGCUAGUUGGUAAGGUAACGGCUUACCAAGGCAACGAUGCGUAGCCGACCUGAGAGGGUGAUCGGCCACACUGGAACUGAGACACGGUCCAGACCCCUAGGGGAGGCAGCAGGAGGGAAUCUUCCGCAAUGGGCGAAAGCUUGAAGGAGCAACGCCGCGGGAGUGAUGAAGGUCUUCGGAUCGUAAAACUCUGUUAUUAGGGAAGAAAAAAUGGGUAAGUAACUAUGCACGUUUGGACGGUACCUAAUCAGAAAGCCACGGCUAACUACGU
rnacentral:rRNA from 1 species